rnacentral:lncRNA from 1 species
GUGCUUUAUAAAUGUGAUUCUGAUGUUCCCUUUUGAUACUAAUUCACAUUAAUUGCCUCAGAUGAUACUGAUACCCAAACAGAAAUCUGGCAGAAGAAUCCCGACUGGCAGUCCUGAUAACGUGCCUGUGUGGAGGCGGCAGUAAUGGGGUCAGGCUCUCUGAACAGCCUAUGAAGGAUCCAGGGAGGUGGGUGUGAGGCGCUUAUUAAACCAGAGUGAGGCCAGCUCUGGGACGUUGUGGCUAACUUGGGACACAAGAGAUAAGGGUAGGGACCUGAGGCACCAGAAAAAUCAGAUGAGGCGUGGCCACGAGAUAUGGGUAGCAGAAUACAAAGGAGCAAAACAAAGUCAGGUGAAAUGAGAGUUGGGAAUGGAAGAGAGAAGGGAAAGUGGCUCAGGAGAGUCACAAGCACCUCUUCGGCAAAGCCCACCUCCCUCUCUCGCUUGAUUCCCCGGCCAUCCUUAUCAAAGACCUUCCAGGUGAACAGGCAGCCAUCCUCAGCAGCAGUCAGCAGGAACUGAUCAUCAAAGCCAGUAGACAAGAUUUGACUCUGGAGGUGACGUCUGAGCCAAUAGGUAUUUGGAGUCUGGAGAAAAAGCCAUGCUAAUAAAU